CCGGAUCCCAUCAGAACUCCGAAUUUAAACGUGCUUGGGCGAGAGUAGUACUAAGAUGGGUGAGCUCUUGGGAAGUCCUCGUGUUGCACCCC
rnacentral:rRNA from 1 species